rnacentral:rRNA from 1 species
UGGGGAAUUUGGACAAUGGGCGAAAGCCUGAUCCAGCAAUGCCGCGUGUGUGAAGAAGGCCUUCGGGUUGUAAAGCACUUUUGUCCGGAAAGAAAUCCUUGGCUCUAAUACAGUCGGGGGAUGACGGUACCGGAAGAAUAAGCACCGGCUAACUACGUGCCAGCAGCCGCGGUAAUACGUAGGGUGCAAGCGUUAAUCGGAAUUACUGGGCGUAAAGCGUGCGCAGGCGGUUUGCUAAGACCGAUGUGAAAUCCCCGGGCUCAACCUGGGAACUGCAUUGGUGACUGGCAGGCUAGAGUAUGGCAGAGGGGGGUAGAAUUCCACGUGUAGCAGUGAAAUGCGUAGAGAUGUGGAGGAAUACCGAUGGCGAAGGCAGCCCCCUGGGCCAAUACUGACGCUCAUGCACGAAAGCGUGGGGAGCAAACAGGAUUAGAUACCCUGGUAGUCCACGCCCUAAACGAUGUCAACUAGUUGUUGGGGAUUCAUUUCCUUAGUAACGUAGCUAACGCGUGAAGUUGACCGCCUGGGGAGUACGGUCGCAAGAUUAAAACUCAAAGGAAUUGACGGGGUCAUAGCUGUUUCCU